UUUUCUCAAAUAUUGCUUCUGAUCAAUGCUCAUAAUUCCUUUUUCGUCACAAAAUGAUAAGAACUUAGCAGAGGUGUAUUCGCCACCAUUAUCUCUUACCAAAGCUGAUGUCUGGUCUUCGAUUCGAUCAUCAAAUUAAACCAAUCAGUAACACACACGAACUAAACUACGCCAUUGCCCCGCGCAGAUCGCUAUGAAAUCGCGCGCAAAUUUGCAAGCGGCCCUCAUUGGACGUUGCUUGAGCCACGCCUCUUUCCCCCGCACUGACCUCUUCCCUGGCAUCUUAUCCCACCGCUCAACCGUAACCCUACCUCCGCCAUCGGUAUGAAUCGGACCAAUCACGCGCAAAGCUGCUCGUUGGCCGUUGCUACAGCAACGCUUCUUUUCCCCGCGCUAACCCUUUCCCUACCGUCUUAUCCCACCGCUCAACCUUGCUCCUACUCCCGUUAUCUGAUGAAAUCGGACCAACCACGCGCAAAGCUGCUCAUUGGCCGUUGCUAUAGCAACGCUUCUUUCCCCGCACUAACCGCUUCCCGGCUAUCUUAUCCCACUCAACCAUAACCAUUGUUGAAAUCAAAUAGAGGGAUAAAGGUAAACAAAAGUGUAUUCAGACAAAGUGCAGGAAAAACUAUCACUAUAGCAACAAAUUUUGAUUAUUCUCAACAAUGACAUCAUUCGGUUCAGCGCGAAACCGGAGCAUUUUAAAUUUCUGAAAAAGUUGCGCUUUUCGGUCUGCGCGUUGUUCGGUCUCCGAGUUACUUUUUAGCGUUUUCAAUAUGCGCAUCGUGUUCUAGACGUCAUUUACCUUUGUUUUCAUUUAUUUGCAAGUCAAAUUCGUUCAUGGUUUAGUGACCCAUUUUACAUUAUUUCUCAUCCACCUCACCACGAGCACACCCCAUCUUUCCCAACCGCACAUACCUAUGUUUGGGAGAAAUACGUCCAUUUCUCACGUAAAUUGUUUCUCGAUGCGAUCUUCAUGAAUUUAAGCCAUUUUCUACGAGAAGAAACUCUUUUUUUGCUUCGACUGAAGUUUGCAUCAGGCCCAUUCUGCCGUGCUAAAGAAGAACGCCGUAUGAACCUUCAGGCGCUGCCAAAUUUCCCGUGGUAAAUCAUGAAUUUUUGGGAAAAUUUAUUAAUAUUUUUCUUCCAAUUAUUCAGAUAAUUUUGCUCGCAA
rnacentral:lncRNA from 1 species